CUACGGGUCGCAGCAGUGAGGAAUUUUGCGCAAUGGGGGAAACCCUGACGCAGCAACGCCGCGUGAGUGAUGAAGACCUUCGGGUCGUAAAGCUCUGUCAAGUGGGAAAAAAUACUUUCGGUUAAUACCCGGAAGGACUGAUGGUACCACUGGAGGAAGCACCGGCUAACUCCGUGCCAGCAGCCGCGGUAAUACGGAGGGUGCAAGCGUUGUUCGGAAUUACUGGGCGUAAAGGGCGUGCAGGCGGCCUGGAAAGUCAGAUGUGAAAGCCCUGGGCUCAACCCAGGAAGUGCAUUUGAAACUGCCAGGCUAGAGUAUGGGAGAGGAGAGUGGAAUUCCCAGUGUAGAGGUGAAAUUCGUAGAUAUUGGGAGGAACACCGGUGGCGAAGGCGACUCUCUGGACCAAUACUGACGCUGAGACGCGAAAGCGUGGGGAGCAAACAGGAUUAGAUACCCCUGUAGUC
rnacentral:rRNA from 1 species